AAGCGGUGGAGUAUGUUGGUUUAAUUCGAUGCAACGCGAAGAACCUUACCUGGUCUUGACAUCCCGGAGACCCUUAGGAACUAGGGGUGCUUCCAUCUGGAAGAAUCUGGAGACAGGUGCUGCAUGGCUGUCGUCAGCUCGUGUCGUGAGAUGUUGGGUUAAGUCCCGCAACGAGCGCAACCCUUGCCUUUAGUUGCCAGCAGUUCGGCUGGGCACUCUAAAGGGACUGCCGGUGUUAAACCGGAGGAAGGUGGGGGAUGACGUCAAGUCCUCAUGGCCUUUAUGACCAGGGCUACACACGUACUACAAUGGCCGAUACAAAGGGCAGCGACACUGCGAGGUGAAGCCAAUCCCGUAAAAUCGGUCUCAGUUCGGAUCGGAGUCUGCAACCCGACUCCGUGAAGCUGGAGUCGCUAGUAAUCGCGCAUCAGCCAUGGCGCGGUGAAUACGUUCCCGGGCCUU
rnacentral:rRNA from 1 species